ACAGUGGGGCAUUUAUGUAAGUCACAGGAGUAGCGCUUAUUCAAGAGCUGCCAGGUAAACAGAAAACGCCAGAUAAUGCCGUUGUCAUGAAGCAUUCUCAAACUCAAAAGAUCACUUAGCAAAACAUGUCACAGCCUUCAUUAAACAGAACCCACCGGCACUGAGUUUGCCUGUUUCCCUUACUCGUUAAUGGCGCACACGUCUCACAUCAAUCCAGGAAACCCAGCUUCCCUGUUCACCGACUCAGCUGCCAGCUGCUGUGAGCCUCUGCAACACAAUCACACUUGGGUGACUGGACAGAGGAUUCUACAUCGAGACAUCAGUAUCCAAAAACUUUGCAUCAAAGAUUACUGUCAUUCUCUGUCCUGCAAAUUCUAGUUUUAACAAAUAGGAUGUUGGACUGUCUGCCAACAAUGAAUGGAGCUACUGUAAACACCCACAUGCAGACUUUUGAGCGAAUAUAGCUUCCAACUCCUUUGGGUAGAAGCAUGUGAGGAUCCUUCUUACUGAAAGAACCAGCCUGAACUUUGGAAGAUCCAAGAGAAAAAAGAAGAGACUUGACUUCCCCAAAAGGAGAAUGCUUGAGACUUUUUAAAAGGUCAAUACACCACCAUCUUAUCAGUCUCAUGUAUGAAGAAACUGAGGCCACUGAGCUAAUAUUUGUAACUUCAGAACAACUCGACCUCUGCUGUGUCCAAAUCUUAGUAAAUGUCUCUCUUGUGUCUAAGAUUUAUUGAACUUGUCAAUCUACCCAUUCUCUGUAAGAAGCAUAUAACCUCACUUAACUGUCAAAAAAAAAAAAAAAAGAAGGCAGAUGGCCAGUGUCCUCAUCUGUAUGUACUGCACCAACAGCACUGUGUGAAGAGAAGGGGUCCUACCAAAUAACUUACUGACCAAUGAGGAAUGUAAGCUCCACCAUCAGGAACAAGGAGGAAGAAUGAGAAGAGGAGGAACAGGAGAAGGAACAAGAGCAGGAGGAAGAGAUGCAGGCAGCAACAUCACCUGCUAGGGCAUGUCGACAAGAACCCAACUUCCAUCCAAAGAAAUUGCACUUUUUAUAAGUUCCAUCCCCUCCCAGUGGCGCCACCUACUGGCAAGCAAAGCAUACAGACCUUUUGGAGAUGUUCCAGAAACAAACUGAAACUAUUCCCACAUGAACCCCUCUAUCCCCUGACUUUCUUCCCUCGGUUUCUGUUUCCUCCUCUGCCCGAGGCUGUCAACAAUGGUCUGCAAUUCUGCCUAACCCACUUUUCCUGUGAUCUUGCCAGGUAAGAAACUCAAGAACCCUCUUCAAUAAUAACAUCACUGGAGCCAGCAAGGCCCUUCUGCCCAGGAGGCCUAGACAUCCUGGCAGAGGGUGUGUUGACUGCAUUCACGCUGUCUGGCUUCAGCUGACAGUGCCCAGAUGUUCAGUUUCCAGACCUCUCCAAGGUCGUCUUCAUCUUCUUCUGAAGGUGCAGGGAUGCAGCCUUCCUGUGACCUCAGGGUGAUACCAGUCACUCUAGAAAAGAAAGAUCAAAGAAAUAGAUGAAAUCCUACCUUGUAUAUAA
rnacentral:lncRNA from 1 species